CCUUCCUCUAGAAGGAAAGAGAGAGGACAGUCACGAGCAGGAGCCAGAGUACAAGACAAACACUAGCAGGAAUCUCUAGUCACAAGUAUGUACUUCCAUGUCUCCUCGGCUUGAGUUACCACACAUCCAUCUGCUACUGAUCAGCACGUCGCUGGAAUCAUCUACACAGCAAGUAUGUGCUGCUUGGCAUUUGGACGGCUGCUUUACUUGUUGUGCUGGCCGUAUGAGCAUAUGACGAGCAUUGCCUCGUAAAACAGACCUACUCUGCCAUUCAGUUUGAUGGAUAUGUCUCUAGAUAGUGACAUAGACUUUGUCACUGGCUACUUGAGCUGUACCGUGGACAUGAAUGUCUCUGGAAAGUAAAGGCCAAGGGGUAUUCAGAUAAAGUCCGACGGAAUGCGGCAUUAGAGGAGUUAGUGGACUACUGCAGGCCCUGUGUGUCCACUGCGGACAAAGAAUGGGUAAAAAAAAAUAGAUUCAGAACCUUUGCAUGGUGUUCCUUAAAGAACACACAAAAAUGAAUCAGUCGAAAAACUCUGGAGCAGGUUCGGCCCAGAUUUACAAGACAUCGCUCUGGUACUACAGCAUACUGGAGUUUGUCCUGGACCGGGAGCAUACCCGGACAGGUUUCACCUCACUCCCUCGGGCUGCCACUCCAGAGCCUGAAGACUGUGACCUCUCUCUGUCGGCAUCUAAUACAAUUGUGGAGAUUCCCCCCACCCCAGACCUCACCUUCAUCGAGGAUACGGAAGAAUUCAAGCCCCAACUUCCUAUCCCUGAAAUACCCACUACCCCGGAUACCUCAGCAUCAACAGCUCCUCCACCGCGCCCCCGGAAGAGUGCGCAAAAAAGAAAAGAAAAAAAGAACACCGCCAGGAGGGCGAAGAUAUUAUCUUUGAGGAGAUAAAAGGCAAGACUUGCCCCUCUCUCUCUCUCUAUCUCCCUCGCCGUCCCCCCCCUCCUCCCGACCACUACUCCAAUUUCGGGGAGUUUAUGGCCUCUUCCAUGCAAAAACUACCCCCAGGUCAGGCGGAGCAGAUUGAGAGGCUUUGUCUGAAAAUGCUCAACAAAGCACGCAAAUUGAAACUCCACGAUGAUCUGGUACUAUACGACCACCGUCCUCUCUCUUUCUCCCACCCAAUCCCAUCCUAUACCGCCCACCCAACCCCAUCUCAUUCCACCCACCCAACCACAGCCUACUCCUCCACCCACUUGCUCCUCAGCCAUAUACUCCCCCACCCACCUUCUCCUCCGCCAUAUACUCUGCUAUGCUGGAGGCAGAGGAGGACAUGCCCCAGUUUGAAGAUUUGUAGGCAUCUUAUAAUUCCCAAUCAAUAUGGUGCGGUAUAGGCCAUAUGGUGUUUGGGACCAAAUUUUUGGGGUAGGAUACACGCAUGCUGUAGGUGCAUCAUUCUGCACUUUACAGCAUGUGUGUAUUCUCCCAAUCAAAUCUGUACCCAAAACAGCAUAUAGCCCUACAUUAAAGUACCGCACCAUAUUUAUUGGGAAUGAAAAGUGUGUGUGUGUGUGUGUGUGUGUGUGUGUGUGUGUGUGUGUGUGUGUGUGUGUGUGUGUGUGUGUUAUAUAU